GUGAGAGCUGAUGACAAACGUUGAACAGACAUUGUAUUCGCUGCUGACAAGCAUCCCAAAGGAACCUUACUAAAAACUCCAGGUUGUGCAGUUUGCCUGGCACCAUACAGUAGUAAGUGGAAGAGCUGGAUUCACGGCUCAGGGCUUUGGUCUCCUGGGGUCCCAUUUGAGCAGAACCGGCCUUCCUGCCUUCCCUUCCUCUGUUGCAAGGAUGGGCCUCUUCAGGAGGCCUUGGAGCCAGGCUCUGGGGGUAUCAUCCCCCAUCUUGGUUUGCCAAGUCACGUGAUCCCUGGAGUGGGGAUGGGACCAUCAGGGACUGAAGAGGACCAUCUAGACAAAGGGGAGGGAAGCUCAGGGACUGGGGUCCAUUUCUCCUGUGGUGGCAGAUGCCAUAGGAUGUUGGCACUAGUGCUUUUGGAGGGGUUCUUAUCAGGGUGCUGUGACCCCUGGGUAGCCCUUGGCAACAGGAGUGCCCCCAGGGCCCCUAAACUCAGACUGCACUCCUGAGUCUGAGCAUAGCCCUGUGUCCUCAGGAUGCCUCUCACCUAGGCAUCUUCCUCUAACACUCCCCUCGGCCUUCCCUCUCCCACCUUUUGCCUGCUUGCCAACCCUUACAGCAGCCAUUAGGGAGCUCUCUCCUGUGGGAGCCACUAAGGAGGGGGACUCUGAUGGGACAGAGUUUGCCUCCAAGGCUGGGGAAGGGAAGGAGGCUUCUAGGGCCAGGUCCUUUAUCUUCUCCAGGGUUCUGCAGUAACCUGGCUGGUAGGGAGGCAGUGGGAGGUGACCUCAGGCAGGGAGAAGGGUCUCAGCGCUACACGAAAUGACCUGCGUGGAGUCUGUUUCAGUUCACUUCACCCUAGUCCACCCUCAGGAUUCUACUGACUUAGGCACUUUUGAUCACCAGACUCUAAAACGGAAGAGGACUUAUGUUUUGGGUCAUUUGAACAGAGACUGUCAACAGGACAAGCAGCCACCUCUCAGGGCCAGGCCAGGCUGCUGCCUGCUUCUCAUGGGGCAGUGGUCUGGGUCAAGUCGGUUCUCAGCACAGCCUCUGAACAGGAAACACGGUCCCUGCCACAGCCUCCCCCAGCCCUACUCCUCAGAGGCUUUUCCCUGCCAGCUCCUGGCCAUGGGAGCCGGUGACCUUGCCAUGGGAGCCGGUGACCUCACCAUGGGGCCUCUCUCCACCUGGGGCCAUUGCAUCACCCCCACCAGACACGGAAGGCCUCCAGUUGGGAUUUUAGUGUAUUAAACCAAGGACUUUUUUUUUUUUUUAAACUUAGAGAAAACAAGAAGACGUGACAACACCAGAAACAAGAACA
rnacentral:lncRNA from 10 species